CGGGACGGGGUGGAGUAAUGUCUGGGAAACUGCCCGAUGGAGGGGGAUAACUACUGGAAACGGUAGCUAAUACCGCAUAACGUCGCAAGACCAAAGAGGGGGACCUUAGGGCCUCUUGCCAUCGGAUGUGCCCAGAUGGGAUUAGCUAGUAGGUGGGGUAAUGGCUCACCUAGGCGACGAUCCCUAGCUGGUCUGAGAGGAUGACCAGCCACACUGGAACUGAGACACGGUCCAG
rnacentral:rRNA from 1 species